rnacentral:rRNA from 1 species
AUUGAACGCUGGCGGCAUGCCUUACACAUGCAAGUCGAACGGCAGCACGGACUUCGGUCUGGUGGCGAGUGGCGAACGGGUGAGUAAUGUAUCGGAACGUACCUUUCAGUGGGGGAUAACGUAGCGAAAGUUACGCUAAUACCGCAUAUUCUGUGAGCAGGAAAGCGGGGGAUCGCAAGACCUUGCGCUGAUUGAGCGGCCGAUAUCAGAUUAGCUAGUUGGUGGGGUAAAGGCCUACCAAGGCUACGAUCUGUAGCGGGUCUGAGAGGAUGAUCCGCCACACUGGGACUGAGACACGGCCCAGACUCCUACGGGAGGCAGCAGUGGGGAAUUUUGGACAAUGGGCGGAAGCCUGAUCCAGCCAUGCCGCGUGAGUGAAGAAGGCCUCGGUUGUAAGACUCUUCGUGGAGAA